rnacentral:rRNA from 1 species
GUCUACAGCCAUACCACCCUGAACAUGCCCAAUCUCGUAAGCUAAGCAGGGUCAGGCCUGGUUAGUACUUGGAUGGGAGAAGUGGACCUACCCUGUGAUGCUGCAGUUC